rnacentral:rRNA from 1 species
UACGUAUGAGGCGAGCGUUGUUCGGAAUUAUUGGGCAUAAAGGGCGUGUAGGCGGGGGACUAAGUUAGGUGUGAAAGCCACGGGCUCAACCCGUGAAUUGCAUCUAAUACUGGUUCUCUUGAGUUCGGGAGAGGAGAGCGGAAUUCCAGGUGUAGCGGUGAAAUGCGUAGAUAUCUGGAAGAACACCAGUGGCGAAGGCGGCUCUCUGGCCUAGGACUGACGCUAAGGCGCGAAAGCGUGGGGAGCGAACGGGAUUAGAUACCCCGGUAGUCCACGCCGUAAACGUUGUAUACUAGGUGUAGGUGGUUUUGCCACCUGUGCCGACGCAAAUGCAUUAAGUAUACCGCCUGGGGAGUACGUCCGCAAGGAUGAA